rnacentral:rRNA from 1 species
CCUACGGGGGGCUGCAGUGGGGAAUAUUGGACAAUGGGGGGAACCCUGAUCCAGCCAUGCCGCGUGUGUGAAGAAGGCCCUCGGGUUGUAAAGCACUUUCAGUGAGGAAGAACGCCUGGUGGUUAAUACCCAUCAGGAAAGACAUCACUCACAGAAGAAGCACCGGCUAACUCCGUGCCAGCAGCCGCGGUAAUACGGAGGGUGCGAGCGUUAAUCGGAAUUACUGGGCGUAAAGCGCGCGUAGGUGGCUUGAUAAGCCGGUUGUGAAAGCCCCGGGCUCAACCUGGGAACGGCAUCCGGAACUGUCAAGCUAGAGUGCAGGAGAGGAAGGUAGAAUUCCCGGUGUAGCGGUGAAAUGCGUAGAGAUCGGGAGGAAUACCAGUGGCGAAGGCAGCCUUCUGGACUGACACUGACACUGAGGUGCGAAAGCGUGGGUAGCAAACAGGAUUAGAUACCCUGGUAGUC